rnacentral:rRNA from 1 species
UUACCUGGCCUUGACAUACUAAGAACUUUCCAGAGAUGGAUUGGUGCCUUCGGGAACUUAGAUACAGGUGCUGCAUGGCUGUCGUCAGCUCGUGUCGUGAGAUUGUUUGGGUUAAGUCCCCGCAACGAGCGCAACCCUUUUUCCUUAUUUGCCAGCGGGUAAUGCCGGGAACUUUAAGGAUACUGCCAGUGACAAACUGGAGGAAGGCGGGGACGACGUCAAGUCAUCAUGGCCCUUACGGCCAGGGCUACACACGUGCUACAAUGGUCGGUACAAAGGGUUGCUACCUCGCGAGAGGAUGCUAAUCUCAAAAAGCCGAUCGUAGUCCGGAUCGCAGUCUGCAACUCGACUGCGUGAAGUCGGAAUCACUAGUAAUCGCGGAUCAGAAUGCCGCGGUGAGUACGUUCCCGGGCCUUGUACACACCGCCCGUCACACCAUGGGAGUUUGUUGCACCAGAAGUAGGUAGUCUAACCGCAAGGAGGACGCUUACCACGGGGUGGCCGAUGACUGGGGUGAAGUCGUAACAAGGUAAGCGUAGAUGA